rnacentral:rRNA from 1 species
UGGGGAAUAUUGGACAAUGGGCGAAAGCCUGAUCCAGCCAUGCCGCAUGAGUGAAGAAGGCCUUUGGGUUGUAAAGCUCUUUUAGUGAGGAAGAUAAUGACGGUACUCACAGAAGAAGUCCUGGCUAACUCCGUGCCAGCAGCCGCGGUCAUAUGGAGAGGGCUAGCGUUAUUCGGAAUUAUUGGGCGUAAAGGGCGCGUAGGCUGGUUAAUAAGUUAAAAGUGAAAUCCCGAGGCUUAACCUUGGAAUUGCUUUUAAAACUAUUAAUCUAGAGAUUGAAAGAGGAUAGAGGAAUUCCUGAUGUAGAGGUAAAAUUCGUAAAUAUUAGGAGGAACACCAGUGGCGAAGGCGUCUAUCUGGUUCAAAUCUGACGCUGAAGCGCGAAGGCGUGGGGAGCAAACA